CUGGGACCUUGGGAGCUAUUGCUCCUGGCACUGGAGCACUAUCAUGAGACGACUCUGCACCAACUGACUUGUCUAUUUCAGUCACAUUUUCAAAUACCCAGGAGAGAGAACAUAGCUGGCCAGCUUGACAGGUGUCUCUAGCUUCGGCCAGAGAACAGGACACGGAGCACCAGCAUGGUCACUGGGAGAUCAGUUGUGAGCCAGAAGCCACUGCAGGUUGUGUCUACUAGAGAAAGAAGGACCUGCUAGAGAAAGAGGGAUCCUGCCCCAAUGAUGGAAGCCAGCUGAAGCUGUAGAUUAACUAAAAAAAAAAAAAAAAAGUAAUCAAGCAUCUUGCAGAAGCUGUGAUUCUGGUUUGUAGCACAGUCCUCCCUACCGCUGCUGCUCUCUACUCAUCUGGUAGAACUGGCCCUUCCUCUCCCAUGCUCCUCACUCAGCCCCAUGCAGGGGCAGAGGCAGAGGUCUUCAAGAACUCCCAUUCUCUUGGCGUCCAUUGCAAUGAAACUACCUCUGAUGGAAGAGAGGAGACCUUGUGGUACAGGCCAGGCAGCCCACACUCCAUCAAUGUCUGGCCCUGAAAAAAGCAACCCCAUCCCCAGCUACAUGAAAGCUUUUCUCCCACAUGGAUCAUCACUUGAUCUUGCUUAUCCAUCUCUCUUGGGAAUGAUCCACCUGAGAAAUAUGACAGAAGCCAUUGCCAUAGCUGUUGCCAGGUACCCCAAGUUCUGUUUCUGAUGGGAC
rnacentral:lncRNA from 1 species